rnacentral:rRNA from 1 species
CGAACGCUGGCGGCGUGCCUAAUACAUGCAAGUCGAACGCUUCUUUUUCCACCGGAGCUUGCUCCACCGGAAAAAGAGGAGUGGCGAACGGGUGAGUAACACGUGGGUAACCUGCCCAUCAGAAGGGGAUAACACUUGGAAACAGGUGCUAAUACCGUAUAACGAUCGAAACCGCAUGGUUUUGAUUUGAAAGGCGCUUUCGGGUGUCGCUGAUGGAUGGACCCGCGGUGCAUUAGCUAGUUGGUGAGGUAACGGCUCACCAAGGCCACGAUGCAUAGCCGACCUGAGAGGGUGAUCGGCCACACUGGGACUGAGACACGGCCCAAACCCCUACGGGAGGCAGCAGUAGGGAAUCUUCGGCAAUGGACGAAAGUCUGACCGAGCAACGCCGCGUGAGUGAAGAAGGUUUUCGGAUCGUAAAACUCUGUUGUUAGAGAAGAACAAGGACGUUAGUAACUGAACGUCCCCUGACGGUAUCUAACCAGAAAGCCACGGCUAACUACGUGCCAGCAGCCGCGGUAAUACGUAGGUGGCAAGCGUUGUCCGGAUUUAUUGGGCGUAAAGCGAGCGCAGGCGGUUUCUUAAGUCUGAUGUGAAAGCCCCCGGCUCAACCGGGGAGGGUCAUUGGAAACUGGGAGACUUGAGUGCAGAAGAGGAGAGUGGAAUUCCAUGUGUAGCGGUGAAAUGCGUAGAUAUAUGGAGGAACACCAGUGGCGAAGGCGGCUCUCUGGUCUGUAACUGACGCUGAGGCUCGAAAGCGUGGGGAGCAAACAGG